rnacentral:rRNA from 1 species
UGGGGAAUAUUGGACAAUGGGGGCAACCCUGAUCCAGCCAUGCCGCGUGAGUGAUGAAGGCCUUAGGGUCGUAAAGCUCUUUCGCCUGUGAAGAUAAUGACGGUAGCAGGUAAAGAAACCCCGGCUAACUCCGUGCCAGCAGCCGCGGUAAUACGGAGGGGGUUAGCGUUGUUCGGAAUUACUGGGCGUAAAGCGCACGUAGGCGGAUCGGAAAGUUGGGGGUGAAAUCCCGGGGGCUCAACCCCGGAACUGCCUCCAAAACUAUCGGUCUAGAGUUCGAGAGAGGUGAGUGGAAUUCCAAGUGUAGAGGUGAAAUUCGUAGAUAUUUGGAGGAACACCAGUGGCGAAGGCGGCUCACUGGCUCGAUACUGACGCUGAGGUGCGAAAGUGUGGGGAGCAAACAGGAUUAGAUACCCUGGUAGUCCACACCGUAAACGAUGAAUGCCAGUCGUCGGGUAGCAUGCUAUUCGGUGACACACCUAACGGAUUAAGCAUUCCGCCUGGGGAGUACGGUCGC